rnacentral:rRNA from 1 species
UUAAGCGACUAAGCGUACACGGUGGAUGCCCUGGCAGUCAGAGGCGAUGAAGGACGUGCUAAUCUGCGAAAAGCGUCGGUAAGGUGAUAUGAACCGUUACAGCCGGCGAUGUCCGAAUGGGGAAACCCAGUGCAAUUCGUUGCACUAUCGUUAACUGAAUACAUAGGUUAACGAGGCGAACCGGGGGAACUGAAACAUCUAAGUACCCCGAGGAAAAGAAAUCAACCGAGAUUCCCCCAGUAGCGGCGAGCGAACGGGGAGCAGCCCAGAGUCUGAAUCAGCUUGUGUGUUAGUGGAACGGUCUGGAAAGUCCGACGGUACAGGGUGAUAGUCCCGUACACCAAAAUGCACAGGCUGUGAACUCGAAGAGUAGGGCGGGACACGUGGUAUCCUGUCUGAAUAUGGGGGGACCAUCCUCCAAGGCUAAAUACUCCUGACUGACCGAUAGUGAACCAGUACCGUGAGGGAAAGGCGAAAAGAACCCCGGCGAGGGGAGUGAAAAAGAACCUGAAACCGUGUACGUACAAGCAGUGGGAGCACCUUCGGGUGUGACUGCGUACCUUUUGUAUAAUGGGUCAGCGACUUAUAUUCUGUAGCAAGGUUAACCGUAUAGGGGAGCCGCAGGGAAACCGAGUCUUAACUGGGCGUUAAGUUGCAGGGUAUAGACCCGAAACCCGGUGAUCUAGCCAUGGGCAGGUUGAAGGUUGGGUAACACUAACUGGAGGACCGAACCGACUAAUGUUGAAAAAUUAGCGGAUGACUUGUGGCUGGGGGUGAAAGGCCAAUCAAACCGGGAGAUAGCUGGUUCUCCCCGAAAGCUAUUUAGGUAGCGCCUCGUGAACUCAUCUUCGGGGGUAGAGCACUGUUUCGGCUAGGGGGUCAUCCCGACUUACCAACCCGAUGCAAACUACGAAUACCGAAGAAUGUUAUCACGGGAGACACACGGCGGGUGCUAACGUCCGUCGUGAAGAGGGAAACAACCCAGACCGCCAGCUAAGGUCCCAAAGUCAUGGUUAAGUGGGAAACGAUGUGGGAAGGCACAGACAGCCAGGAUGUUGGCUUAGAAGCAGCCAUCAUUUAAAGAAAGCGUAAUAGCUCACUGGUCGAGUCGGCCUGCGCGGAAGAUGUAACGGGGCUAAACCAUGCACCGAAGCUGCGGCAGCGACACUAUGUGUUGUUGGGUAGGGGAGCGUUCUGUAAGCCUGCGAAGGUGACCUGUGAGGGUUGCUGGAGGUAUCAGAAGUGCGAAUGCUGACAUAAGUAACGAUAAAGCGGGUGAAAAGCCCGCUCGCCGGAAGACCAAGGGUUCCUGUCCAACGUUAAUCGGGGCAGGGUGAGUCGACCCCUAAGGCGAGGCCGAAAGGCGUAGUCGAUGGGAAACAGGUUAAUAUUCCUGUACUUGGUGUUACUGCGAAGGGGGGACGGAGAAGGCUAUGUUAGCCGGGCGACGGUUGUCCCGGUUUAAGCAUGUAGGCUGGUUAUCCAGGCAAAUCCGGAUAAUCAAGGCUGAGGUGUGAUGACGAGGCACUACGGUGCUGAAGUAACAAAUGCCCUGCUUCCAGGAAAAGCCUCUAAGCAUCAGGUAACAUCAAAUCGUACCCCCAAACCGACACAGGUGGUCAGGUAGAGAAUACCAAGGCGCUUGAGAGAACUCGGGUGAAGGAACUAGGCAAAAUGGUGCCGUAACUUCGGGAGAAGGCACGCUGGUGUGUAGGUGAAGUCCCUGCGGAUGGAGCUGAGACCAGUCGAAGAUACCAGCUGGCUGCAACUGUUUAUUAAAAACACAGCACUGUGCAAACACGAAAGUGGACGUAUACGGUGUGACGCCUGCCCGGUGCCGGAAGGUUAAUUGAUGGGGUUAUCCGUAAGGAGAAGCUCUUGAUCGAAGCCCCGGUAAACGGCGGCCGUAACUAUAACGGUCCUAAGGUAGCGAAAUUCCUUGUCGGGUAAGUUCCGACCUGCACGAAUGGCGUAAUGAUGGCCAGGCUGUCUCCACCCGAGACUCAGUGAAAUUGAACUCGCUGUGAAGAUGCAGUGUACCCGCGGCAAGACGGAAAGACCCCGUGAACCUUUACUAUAGCUUGACACUGAACAUUGAGCCUUGAUGUGUAGGAUAGGUGGGAGGCUUUGAAGCGUGGACGCCAGUCUGCGUGGAGCCAACCUUGAAAUACCACCCUUUAAUGUUUGAUGUUCUAACGUUGGCCCCUUACCGGGGUUGCGGACAGUGUCUGGUGGGUAGUUUGACUGGGGCGGUCUCCUCCCAAAGCGUAACGGAGGAGCACGAAGGUUAGCUAAUCCUGGUCGGACAUCAGGAGGUUAGUGCAAUGGCAUAAGCUAGCUUGACUGCGAGCGUGACGGCGCGAGCAGGUGCGAAAGCAGGUCAUAGUGAUCCGGUGGUUCUGAAUGGAAGGGCCAUCGCUCAACGGAUAAAAGGUACUCCGGGGAUAACAGGCUGAUACCGCCCAAGAGUUCAUAUCGACGGCGGUGUUUGGCACCUCGAUGUCGGCUCAUCACAUCCUGGGGCUGAAGUAGGUCCCAAGGGUAUGGCUGUUCGCCAUUUAAAGUGGUACGCGAGCUGGGUUUAGAACGUCGUGAGACAGUUCGGUCCCUAUCUGCCGUGGGCGCUGGAGAAUUGAGGGGGGCUGCUCCUAGUACGAGAGGACCGGAGUGGACGCAUCACUGGUGUUCGGGUUGUCAUGCCAAUGGCACUGCCCGGUAGCUAAAUGCGGAAGAGAUAAGUGCUGAAAGCAUCUAAGCACGAAACUUGCCCCGAGAUGAGUUCUCCCUGAGACUUUAAGUCUCCUGAAGGAACGUUAAAGACGAUGACGUUGAUAGGCCGGGUGUGUAAGCGCAGCGAUGCGUUGAGCUAACCGGUACUAAUGAACCGUGAGACUUAACCUU